rnacentral:tmRNA from 1 species
GGGGGUGAACAGGUUCGACGGCAACAAGUGUCGUCAAAGCAGCAGGCCAUGGUUGACCAGGCCAUGUAAAACAGGGUCAAAACAACAACAGCCAACUCCAACGAGCUGGCCUGGGCUCACGCUUAAGUGAGUUCACGCUGUCCGCUUCUCUCCCGCUGAAGCGGGUACAGCGUCACCAACGCGGGAUGCUGCGCUAACGGCGCGCUUCGUCUGUUAAGCGCAAAAGACUCACGGGGCUGGCGCAAACCGUGUCGUCCUGAACAAAGGUUUGCGCGAGAACAAUAUCAGGGCUAAGCCUGUAGCGGCUUUGCCGUACUGUUGUCGGACCCGAGUGCAAUUCUCGGCACCUCCACCA